rnacentral:lncRNA from 1 species
UCUCUCUUCUCUUCUCUCUCUCUCUAAGCUCACACCACCAGCUCCACCACCACCACCGGGCGGGUCGCCGGCACCCCCAGGUAACCACCAGGUAAGUGCCACUACCCCACCUUCUCCCCCCUUACCCCCACUGCCCGGAACACUGUUCCGACAGUGUUUCGACAUCCCUCGGGAGUUUCUUGGACUCACCUCCCACACCAUUGUGACACACAGUGUCUGGCGCACAUUUUCU